UGGGGAAUAUUGCACAAUGGGCGCAAGCCUGAUGCAGCCAUGCCGCGUGUGUGAAGAAGGCCUUCGGGUUGUAAAGCACUUUCAGCGGGGAGGAAGGCGAUAAGGUUAAUAACCUUGUCGAUUGACGUUACCCGCAGAAGAAGCACCGGCUAACUCCGUGCCAGCAGCCGCGGUAAUACGGAGGGUGCAAGCGUUAAUCGGAAUUACUGGGCGUAAAGCGCACGCAGGCGGUCUGUAAAGUCGGAUGUGAAAUCCCCGGGCUUAACCUGGGAACUGCAUUCGAAACUGGCAGGCUAAAGUCUUGUAGAGGGGGGUAGAAUUCCAGGUGUAGCGGUGAAAUGCGUAGAGAUCUGGAGGAAUACCGGUGGCGAAGGCGGCCCCCUGGACGAAGACUGACGCUCAGGUGCGAAAGCGUGGGGAGCAAACAGG
rnacentral:rRNA from 1 species